rnacentral:rRNA from 1 species
UACAGAGGUCUCAAGCGUUUGUUCGGAUUCAUUGGGCGUAAAGGGUGCGUAGGUGGCGCUGUAAGUCGGGUGUGAAAUUUCGGAGCUUAACUCCGAAACUGCAUUCGAUACUGCGGUGCUUUGAGGACUGGAGAGGAGACUGGAAUUCAUGGUGUAGCAGUGAAAUGCGUAGAGAUCAUGAGGAAGACCAGUGGCGAAGGCGGGUCUCUGGACAGUUCCUGACACUGAGGCACGAAGGCCAGGGGAGCAAACGGG